AAGGUGCAGCUAUUUAUAUGUGGGUAAAUAAUUUGCGGUGCUGUUGAGGGGGGCCCGUGUCCAAGUAGAGCUUUAUGUUUAGCAACACCCCGGAGACUCUCAAGAGGAACAUUGGAGAUAUACUGGAAGACCUGGAGCUCAGGAAACAGGUAGAACUGCUUGACCAGACUGAACAAUGGAGUUAGUUUCCAAAGAACUGUAUUGAGAGUAAUUAAAGACUUGACUUCUUUCUCUUUAGCAGAUUGGCAUGGAGCAUGUGGAGAAACAGGGAAACACACCUCAGUAAUGACAAGUACAUCGUAAUAAAUUAGUCUGGAGUGCAGCAUGUGGAGACAAAUAGGAAUCUCACACCUCAGCAAUGACUGGAAGCCAAUGGUCAGGAUUGUCCUUCAAAAACAAAUGGCUGUGUGCAUGGAUGGAGGUCCUUCCAAGAGGAAGGGGGUGGUGGUGGGCAUAGAUUGUUAGAUAGAUGUCUUGUCUGUGGCAUUUAUUGUAGGUAAUGGACACACAACAGGGAGAAGAUGGAGACUCACAAGAGCACCGGUGGAGAUUUAUCUAACAAUUGCAGGAGCUCGACUAAGCAGGUAGGGCUCUGUUGGUGCUGUCUUCAUCUUUUGCAGAUUGGAGUUAAGCAGAAGAAGGAGACUCACAAGGGAACAGUGGAGAUUUAUCUGAAGAACACUGGAGAACAUUUGGUUUAUUGCUGGAGAUCAGCCAGUAGAGCUCUGUUAGUCUUGUUUUUGUCUUUUGCAGAUUAGACUGGGGCAUGUGGAGAAAUGGGAAUCACACCUCAGCAAUGACUGCAAACUGAUGGUCUGGUUAGGUGUUUCCUGAAUGGAUGGGUGGAUAAAGUAAUAAAGGAAAAAUAGAUGUCCUUCCAAGAGGAAGGGGGUGGUGGUGGGCUUAGAUAGUUAGAUGUCUUGUUUGUGGCAGGUGUUUCAUUUUCAAGGAAUGAACAGACAACAGGCAGAAGAAGGAAACUUACAAGAGCAUCGGUGGAGAUUUAUCUGAAGAACACUGGAGAACAGCUUGUGCAUUGCUGGAGUUCUGAAAGCAUGUAGAGCUCUGUUAGUCGUGUAUUUGUCUUUUACAGACUGGAGUGCAGCAUGUGGAGACAAAAAGGAAUCACACACCUUAGCAACGACUGGACACUGAUGGUUAGAGAUUAGGUAUUUCCUAAAUGAAUGACUGAAAAAUAGAUGUUCUUCCAAGAGGAAGGGGGUGGAGGUGGGCUUAGAUUGUUAGAUGUCUUCUCUGUGGCAGUUAUUUAGAUUGUACACUGUUAACCCUUGCUGUAGAUUAUGUGGUAACCCUAAAAUAGCCUGUGUUUUGCUGUAUUAAUCGGAAACAGUAUUUUACUGUAAACCGAGAAUUUGUAUGAAAUUGUGUAAUGCAAACAGUAAAUGACAGUAAUUUACUUUAUGUAGCCAUUACAGGUAGUAACUGUGAUAAUAAAUGGUUAAUAACUGUUCAACA